AUUGAACGCUGGCGGCAUGCCUUACACAUGCAAGUCGAACGGCAGCACGGGUGCUUGCACCUGGUGGCGAGUGGCGAACGGGUGAGUAAUACAUCGGAACAUGUCCUGUAGUGGGGGAUAGCCCGGCGAAAGCCGGAUUAAUACCGCAUACGAUCUACGGAUGAAAGCGGGGGACCUUCGGGCCUCGCGCUAUCGGGUUGGCCGAUGGCUGAUUAGCUAGUUGGUGGGGUAAAGGCCUACCAAGGCGACGAUCAGUAGCUGGUCUGAGAGGACGACCAGCCACACUGGGACUGAGACACGGUCCAGACUCCUACGGGAGGCAGCAGUGGGGAAUUUUGGACAAUGGGCGAAAGCCUGAUCCAGCAAUGCCGCGUGUGUGAAGAAGGCCUUCGGGUUGUAAAGCACUUUUGUCCGGAAAGAAAUGCUUGGCCCUAAUACGGUCGGGGGAUGACGGUACCGGAAGAAUAAGCACCGGCUAACUACGUG
rnacentral:rRNA from 1 species